rnacentral:rRNA from 1 species
CCUACGGGUGGCAGCAGUGAGGAAUCUUGGUCAAUGGGCGAGAUCCUGAACCAGCCAAGCCGCGUGAGGGAAGACGGCCCUAUGGUUUGUAAACCUCUUUUGUCGGAGAACAAAACUCUGGACGUGUCCAUGUCUGCGUGUAUCCGAAGAAUAAGCAUCGGCUAACUCCGUGCCAGCAGCCGCGGUAAUACGGAGGAUGCGAGCGUUAUCCGGAUUUAUUGGGUUUAAAGGGUGCGUAGGCGGUCCGUUAAGUCAGCGGUAAAAUUGAGGGGCUCAACCCAAUCAAGCCGUUGAAACUGGGAGACUUGAGUGUGCGAGAGGUACGCGGAAUGCGCGGUGUAGCGGUGAAAUGCAUAGAUAUCGCGCAGAACUCCGAUUGCGAAGGCAGCGUACUGGGGCCAGACUGACGCUGAGGCACGAAAGCGUGGGGAUCGAACAGGAUUAGAUACCCUUGUAGUC